UAAUGGGUCAGCGACUUAUAUUCUGUAGCAAGGUUAACCGUAUAGGGGAGCCGCAGGGAAACCGAGUCUUAACUGGGCGUUAAGUUGCAGGGUAUAGACCCGAAACCCGGUGAUCUAGCCAUGGGCAGGUUGAAGGUUGGGUAACACUAACUGGAGGACCGAACCGACUAAUGUUGAAAAAUUAGCGGAUGACUUGUGGCUGGGGGUGAAAGGCCAAUCAAACCGGGAGAUAGCUGGUUCUCCCCGAAAGCUAUUUAGGUAGCGCCUCGUGAACUCAUCUUCGGGGGUAGAGCACUGUUUCGGCUAGGGGGUCAUCCCGACUUACCAACCCGAUGCAAACUACGAAUACCGAAGAAUGUUAUCACGGGAGACACACGGCGGGUGCUAACGUCCGUCGUGAAGAGGGAAACAACCCAGACCGCCAGCUAAGGUCCCAAAGUCAUGGUUAAGUGGGAAACGAUGUGGGAAGGCACAGACAGCCAGGAUGUUGGCUUAGAAGCAGCCAUCAUUUAAAGAAAGCGUAAUAGCUCACUGGUCGAGUCGGCCUGCGCGGAAGAUGUAACGGGGCUAAACCAUGCACCGAAGCUGCGGCAGCGACACUAUGUGUUGUUGGGUAGGGGAGCGUUCUGUAAGCCGUUGAAGGUGGCCUGUGAGGGUUGCUGGAGGUAUCAGAAGUGCGAAUGCUGACAUAAGUAACGAUAAAGCGGGUGAAAAGCCCGCUCGCCGGAAGACCAAGGGUUCCUGUCCAACGUUAAUCGGGGCAGGGUGAGUCGACCCCUAAGGCGAGGCCGAAAGGCGUAGUCGAUGGGAAACAGGUUAAUAUUCCUGUACUCGGUGUUACUGCGAAGGGGGGACGGAGAAGGCUAUGUUAGCCGGGCGACGGUUGUC
rnacentral:rRNA from 1 species